rnacentral:rRNA from 1 species
GCCCGGUAGAGGGGGAUAACCACUGGAAACGGUGGCUAAUACCGCAUAAUGUCGCAAGACCAAAGUGGGGGACCUUCGGGCCUCACACUACCGGAUGAACCCAGAUGGGAUUAGCUAGUUGGUGGGGUAACGGCUCACCAAGGCGACGAUCCCUAGCUGGUCUGAGAGGAUGACCAGCCACACUGGAACUGAGACACGGUCCAGACUCCUACGGGAGGCAGCAGUGGGGAAUAUUGCACAAUGGGCGCAAGCCUGAUGCAGCCAUGCCGCGUGUAUGAAGAAGGCCUUCGGGUUGUAAAGUACUUUCAGCGGGGAGGAAGGGAGUGAGGUUAAUAACUUCAUUCAUUGACGUUACCCGCAGAAGAAGCACCGGCUAACUCCGUGCCAGCAGCCGCGGUAAUACGGAGGGUGCAAGCGUUAAUCGGAAUUACUGGGCGUAAAGCGCACGCAGGCGGUCUGUUAAGUCAGAUGUGAAAUCCCCGGGCUCAACCCGGGAACUGCAUUUGAAACUGGCAGGCUUGAGUCUCGUAGAGGGGGGUGGAAUUCCAGGUGUAGCGGUGAAAUGCGUAGAGAUCUGGAGGAAUACCGGUGGCGAAGGCGGCCCCCUGGACGAAGACUGACGCUCAGGUGCGAAAGCGUGGGGAGCAAACAGGAUUAGAU